rnacentral:rRNA from 1 species
GACGAACGCUGGCGGCGUGCUUAACACAUGCAAGUCGAACGGAAAGGCCCUGCUUUUGUGGGGUGCUCGAGUGGCGAACGGGUGAGUAACACGUGAGUAACCUGCCCUUGACUUUGGGAUAACUUCAGGAAACUGGGGCUAAUACCGGAUAGGAGCUCCUGCUGCAUGGUGGGGGUUGGAAAGUUUCGGCGGUUGGGGAUGGACUCGCGGCUUAUCAGCUUGUUGGUGGGGUAGUGGCUUACCAAGGCUUUGACGGGUAGCCGGCCUGAGAGGGUGACCGGCCACAUUGGGACUGAGAUACGGCCCAGACUCCUACGGGAGGCAGCAGUGGGGAAUAUUGCACAAUGGGCGGAAGCCUGAUGCAGCAACGCCGCGUGCGGGAUGACGGCCUUCGGGUUGUAAACCGCUUUCGCCUGUGACGAAGCGUGAGUGACGGUAAUGGGUAAAGAAGCACCGGCUAACUACGUGCCAGCAGCCGCGGUGAUACGUAGGGUGCGAGCGUUGUCCGGAUUUAUUGGGCGUAAAGGGCUCGUAGGUGGUUGAUCGCGUCGGAAGUGUAAUCUUGGGGCUUAACCCUGAGCGUGCUUUCGAUACGGGUUGACUUGAGGAAGGUAGGGGAGAAUGGAAUUCCUGGUGGAGCGGUGGAAUGCGCAGAUAUCAGGAGGAACACCAGUGGCGAAGGCGGUUCUCUGGGCCUUUCCAGACGCUGAGGAGCGAAAGCGUGGGGAGCGAACAGGCUUAGAUACCCUGGUAGUCCACGCUGUAAACGGUGGGUACUAGGUGUGGGGUCCAUUCCACGGGUUCCGUGCCGUAGCUAACGCUUUAAGUACCCCGCCUGGGGAGUACGGCCGCAAGGCUAAAACUCAUAGGAAUUGACGGGGCCCCGCACAAGCGGCGGAGCAUGCGGAUUAAUUCGAUGCAACGCGUAGAACCUUACCUGGGUUUGACAUGGAUCGGGAGUGCUCAGAGAUGGGUGUGCCUCUUUUGGGGUCGGUUCACAGGUGGUGCAUGCCUGUCGUCAGCUCGUGUCGUGAGAUGUUGGGUUAAGUCCCGCAACGAGCGCAACCCUUGUUCACUGUUGCCAGCACGUUAUGGUGGGGACUCAGUGGAGACCGCCGGGGUCAACUCGGAGGAAGGUGGGGAUGACGUCAAGUCCUCAUGCCCCUUAUGUCCAGGGCUUCACGCAUGCUACAAUGGCUGGUACAGAGAGUGGCGAGCCUGUGAGGGUGAGCGAAUCUCGGAAAGCCGGUCUCAGUUCGGAUUGGGGUCUGCAACUCGACCUCAUGAAGUCGGAGUCGCUAGUAAUCGCAGAUCAGCAACGCUGCGGUGAAUACGUUCCCGGG